rnacentral:rRNA from 1 species
UACGGAGGAUGCAAGCGUUAUCCGGAAUGAUUGGGCGUAAAGCGUCCGCAGGUGGCUAUGUAAGUCUGCUGUUAAAGAGUGAGGCUCAACCUCAUAAAAGCAGUGGAAACUACAUGGCUAGAGUGCGUUCGGGGCAGAGGGAAUUCCUGGUGUAGCGGUGAAAUGCGUAGAUAUCAGGAAGAACACCGGUGGCGAAAGCGCUCUGCUAGGCCGCAACUGACAGCUGAGGGAC